CGUAUGCAACGAUAAUUAACGUUAGAUGACUUGUGAAAGAACGUAAAAUUUUGAGGGCAAGUAAAAAAUAGAAAUUUUCAGUUUGUCACUUGCUUCAACUUUCUCUGAGAGCAAGUAAUUGUCCUAGCCUAAAAAAAACAAAAAGGAAAAAGAAAGAAAAACAGACACGUGAAGAUAAGUAUUCCCUUCUACCCAAUUAAAACAUUAUCUGAGCUCAAUUGGCUGGAUAACAUUCGAAGAGGAGAGUUGUCUGAAAGGGAGAAUCUUCUGCUACACUGCUGCUUUGCAACUCGGAGUUUUACAAUGUUGUGCAUCCAAUUCCAUGCUCAAUUGCUUCCCUUACAAUCACAGCUCAAACACAAGAAACUUCCAAGGACGCCUCAGCUGCUUUGGCUCUCUAGCUGUGAAGCUACCCAGUUUUUUCCACACAGGCCAAACAACUUUUCUCUACUGGCUCCGAGGACCAACGCCAUCCCCUAUUCUCUUCUUCUUGGUGUCUCGUCUGAAGCCGAGCCUGCUGACAUAAAGGGCCAGCUCCAAAUCAUCAGUGCGGUAAUACUCUCUGCAUUAUUCAUAGCAAAUAUCCUCUUGCCGAUAUUCAUCUCGAAGGAUUUAAGCUUUGACAUGGAAAAUGAAGAGCAGAAGGGUAAGUGAUAAUUCCAAUUAAGAUGAUAUCACCAGCACAACUAGCAGUCAAGCAAGCUCAGAGACUAAGGUGAGCACAAGAGGUUAAAAAAGAGGGGCAUUCUUUCAUGUGAUAUCAUCAUUAUAACUGUGAUUGUAAUAAUAAUACUUUCGCUCCAAAACAUCUGUUCAUGAUUUACAACUCUCCAAAUUUACAUUCA